UGCGUAGGUGGCAAGCGUUGUCCGGAAUUACUGGGUGUAAAGGGAGCGCAGGCGGGAAGCCAAGUCAGCUGUGAAAACUACGGGCUUAACUUGUAGACUGCAGUUGAAACUGGUUUUCUUGAGUGAAGUAGAGGUUGGCGGAAUUCCGAGUGUAGCGGUGAAAUGCGUAGAUAUUCGGAGGAACACCGGUGGCGAAGGCGGCCAACUGGGCUUUAACUGACGCUGAGGCUCGAAAGUGUGGGGAGCAAACAGG
rnacentral:rRNA from 1 species